GAAAUACUCCCUCCGUCUGAAAAUUAUUAUCUUGGAUUUGUCUAGAUACGGAUGUAUCUAGUCACGUGUUAGUAUCUAGAUGCAUCCAUAUCUAGAAAAAUCUAAGACAAAUUUUUUGAGGCAGAGGGAGUAUAUA
rnacentral:pre_miRNA from 1 species